AGUACCGUCACCCCUCGUGUGGAAAAAACGCAAAAGCAGCAGUCUAAGAAAAACAGGGAGGGCGAUCGAGGCCGCGGAGAGAAAGAGAGAGCUCGCUCGCUGUGAAAACACUCGACCUGCCGAUGAAUGAGACUUCCCCCGGCGGACUGAUCCCGUGUUUGGUCUGACGGAGACAGAGCGGAUGAAUGGAGACAUGUAUGUAAAUACGUCCACUCCGUGUAAACGGCGCGUUAAAUAGGCGGUUAGUGGGCGAGACCACCAGACGGAGGAUCACCAGAAGCUCCUUCAGUACAUCCUCCAGCAGAGACCAGUCCACUGAGGACAGACCCACAUCCUCCAGCAGAGACCAGUCCACUGAGGACAGACCCACAUCCUCCAGCAGAGACCAGUCCACCGAGGACAGACCCGAAUCCUCCAGCAGAGACCAGUCCACCGAGGACAAGACCCACAUCCUCCAGCAGAGACCAGUCCACCGAGGACAGACCCGAAUCCUCCAGCAGAGACCAGUCCACCGAGGACAAGACCCACAUCCUCCAGCAGAGACCAGUCCACCGAGGACAGACCCACAUCCUCCAGCAGAGACCAGUCCACCGAGGACAGACCCACAUCCUCCAGCAGAGACCAGUCCACCGAGGACAGACCCACAUCCUCCAGCAGAGACCAGUCCACCGAGGACAGACCCGAAUCCUCCAGCAGAGACCAGUCCACCGAGGACAGACCCGAAUCCUCCAGCAGAGACCAGUCCACCGAGGACAGACCCGAAUCCUCCAGCAGAGACCAGUCCACCGAGGACAGACCCGAAUCCUGCAGCAGAGACCAGUCCACCGAGGACAAGACCCACAUCCUCCAGCAGAGACCAGUCCACCGAGGGACAGACCCACAUCCGGGCUCCACCGCAGUUCUCGGACCUGCAGUCGGCGCACCCGGACUCUGCUCCCGGUAGCGUCUCCUC
ensembl:lncRNA